UUGGGGUGGUACCUUAAUAUGUCCGACCAGUUGAGUGGUCCGUGUUGGGUUUUCACAACGUCCGGGUUUUUGUAUAUAAGUAGCAGCGAAAAUUUUCGCCCGUAAACAGCUUGUACUGAUAAACGCAUGCAAAGAUGAGGGCUGUAUUAAUCUCCAUUGCCGUUGUGGCCUGUUGUGUGGUUACGGCCAGGAGCGAGGCCUAUGGUAACUAUGGCGACGGCGUGGGGAGCCAAUACUUACAAAAAGGUCAUAUCAACCAGUACAGCACUGGGGGAUACACCAAGGCUUACUCCUCAUACCCCACGUAUUCUGGAUAUUCCGGAUAUGGCAAAAAAGCUGCAGUGAAGAAACAGGUUAUAUGGAAUCCGCCAUUCUCUGCCCCUCUGUUCACACCCUCCUCGACCCUACCAUCUGACGAAAACUCCAUUUUCAACGGCGAUGGAACUCUUUUGAUGGUUCUGCUUGUCGGAUUCCUCCUCCUCCGAGCCAGCAACUCCGGUUAAAACAGAUUUAACUAAUAAAGUAUCAUGGUCUACUCCAAGGAGAAGCCAAAAUCGCAGGGUAUUUUUGUUUCAAAUUGUGCUAAUAAAAAAUAAAUAAUUUUGAUUAAAAUGAAGACUGAAAUUUG